UACGUAGGGUGCAAGCGUUAAUCGGAAUUACUGGGCGUAAAGCGUGCGCAGGCGGUUUCGUAAGUCUGAUGUGAAAUCCCCGGGCUUAACCUGGGAAUUGCAUUGGAGACUGCGAGGCUAGAAUCUGGCAGAGGGGGGUAGAAUUCCACGUGUAGCAGUUGAAAUGCGUAGAGAUGUGGAGGAACACCGAUGGCGAAGGCAGCCCCCUGGGUCAAGAUUGACGCUCAUGCACGAAAGGCGUGGGGAGCAAACAGG
rnacentral:rRNA from 1 species